rnacentral:rRNA from 1 species
AUGGGAUGCGUCAGUUCGAAGCAAUUCCAUGGCGGCGACGAGUGUGGCAGCGAGGGGAAGCCUCGCCGCCGCCCAUCCAGCAACUCGCUGAGGCGUCUGGUUAGUUACAACUCCAGCAAGAGGCACGAGGACUUGGAGGAGGAUGAAGAAGAAGGGGGAGUUGUGGCAGCCACGUCCUCGAGCGUGGGGCACCGUGUUGCCAAAGAUGCCAGCACGGCCAGGCUGAUUCGGAAGCCCCCUGCGCCGGUGGUCGAUGCAGUGGUGCCGCUGCCAGAGGAAGUGGCCGCAACUGCCGCUAGCGUCGUCGAUGUGGAGAGGGCGGUUGCUGCCCCUGUGAAUCGCAGGCGUGCUCCGAAUGGCGUGGCAGAGCAAGAACCAAGGAGUGGUGGCAUCAGGGGUGAGGUGAAGCCAAGGAUCAUAGAUGUGCCGAAUGGAGUGGUGGGGGAGCAUGUGGCGGCUGGCUGGCCGAGGUGGCUCACGGAGGUGGCAACAGAGGCGGUCCGUGGGUGGCAGCCUCGCAAGGCAGAGUCCUUCGAGAAGUUGGACAAGAUAGGGCAAGGUACCUACAGCAGCGUUUACAAAGCACGCGAUCUUGAGAAUGGAAAAAUUGUGGCACUUAAGAAAGUUAGAUUUGCCAAUAUGGAUCCUGAGAGUGUUCGAUUUAUGGCGAGGGAAAUUCACAUCUUAAGAAGACUUGAUAAUCCAAAUGUUAUUAAGCUCGAAGGUUUGGUGACAUCACGCAUGUCUAGUAGCUUGUAUCUCGUGUUCGAAUACAUGGAGCAUGAUCUUGCGGGGCUUGCUGCUACACCUGGCAUAAAAUUCACAGAGGCUCAGGUCAAGUGUUACAUGCACCAGCUACUGUCUGGACUUGGUCACUGUCAUAGUCGUGGUGUUUUGCAUCGGGAUAUAAAGGGUGCUAAUCUUCUGCUUGACAAUAAUGGUGCCCUCAAAAUAGCAGAUUUUGGUCUAGCUACAUUCUUUAAUCCGAACCAAAAGCAGAAUUUGACAAGUCGUGUUGUAACUUUAUGGUACCGGCCCCCGGAACUUUUGUUGGGUGCUACUAACUAUGGUGCCACGGUUGAUCUCUGGAGUGCUGGUUGCAUCCUUGCGGAAUUGCUGUCAGGGAAGCCUAUCAUGCCAGGACGAACUGAGGUGGAACAGUUGCACAAAAUAUUCAAGCUUUGUGGUUCACCAUCAGAGGAGUUCUGGGCUAAUUUGAAGUUAUCACGUGCUACCAUCUUCAAACCACAACAUCCGUAUCGUCGUUGUGUGAAUGAUGUAUAUAAGGACUUCCCUCCUUCAGCUUUGUCACUUCUGGACCGUUUACUUGCUGUAGAACCUGAUAAUAGGGGUACUGCGGCUUCUGCCCUUGAAAGUGAAUUCUUUACAACGAAGCCUUAUGCUUGUGAUCCAUCAAGUCUGCCAAAAUAUCCUCCAAGUAAGGAAUAUGACGCUAAGCUUCGAGAUGAAGAAGCUAGGAGGCAAAGAGCAGCUGCAGCCAAAGGACAUGAAUCUGAAACUGGACGCAGGAAGCAACUUGCAGCACAAAAUGGCACUAUCGGUUUACAGCAACGGCGAGUUCCGGUUAAUCCUAAAAGCAGUAGUAAUAAGUUUACUCCAAAGGAGGAUGGUGUUACUGGCUUUCCAAUGGAUCCUCUGGUAGUAGACAAUGGUCAUGCUCGCCGUGUUCCUUUGAUGAAUGCUGGUCGUUCAUCCUCCACUUUGGGUCGAUCAAGUGGCACAGAUCCAAACGGCCAGAGAUUCUACACCUCUCAGAUUGCUGCUGCUGAGAUGUCUAACCCAUCUACUGCAACUGGGCAGCGAGGCAAUACUGGUAAGCUGUCUAACCUUGGGGACAGCGCCAGGAAACAGUAUUUAAGAGAGCAUCGGUCGAGUUCAAGAUACAGUCAACUCGCUGCUGCCGACCAGUCUGACAAACCCAAAUGGUCGCAAUCGCAUCAAUUCCAAGAAAGACCGUCAUCUUCCCAUCGGAAGGAUGAAGUGGUGGCAGAUAAGGAGCCUACAGGGGUGAAUGGCACGAGGAAGAACCGAAUCCAGUACUCAGGACCAUUGAUGCCUCCUGGGGUAAACAUGGAAGAGAUCCUUAAAGAGCACGAGCGGCAAAUCCAGCAAGCCGUGCGAAGGGCUCGUCUGGACAAGGGAAAGGGCAAGCACGCCGAGAGAGACCAGUCAGAGUCGCUGCUGUACGCUGCCCAUAAUGGCAGGUCAUAG